UAGAAGGAUGGUUUGGAUAUCACUGGUGGAACGGCCGUUUUUUCGUUCUUUUGUUGACAACCCUUGUAAUAUUUGCUCCAUUGGUGAGCUUUAAGCAUGUAGAUUCACUGAGAUACACAUCGGCCUUGUCUGUUGCUCUAGCGGUUGUUUUCGUUGUGAUUACUGCCGGAAUCACUCUCGUCAAACUGCUAAAUGGAAGCAUACCAAUGCCCAGAUUGCUUCCUAAUAUACCUGAUUUGGCGGCUGUCUGGAACCUUUUCACAGUA
rnacentral:misc_RNA from 1 species